CCCGGCGGUUCAAGUUUCUGCGCCCGGAGGACGCGGCCUUAGCCAAUCCCAGGGCUACAGGGCGCUUUUAAAAUGCAGGAACCUACUUCAGGGAACCAUACAGAGGCCAAAUUCAGAAUCCCUACUUGAACCGCUGACCUUUUGCCCUCUCCAAGGCCGGAAGCAAGCCCUUGCCUGAUGCACGCCUCAGUCGCCCCGUCUGUAAAGUGGGCAGCCCAUCAAAUUCACAUCUCCCUGGCUGAGAGUCAUCUGGAGAAAUAAUGACUAUGUGACCUAAUGAAAAUUGCACGGUGCCUGCCGAGCGAGGUGGGUAAGCCACUGGCCCAACGCUGUCAUUACAGGAGGUGAAGCAGCGCGUGGGCUGAUGACUGGCAAGGGGUGCAGCCGCAGGAACCUUUCAUCAUGGGUUCCCUUGGGAGGCCAGGUAGGUCAGCUCUGAAAGCACCCGGUGCUGCGGGGCCUGCCUUCCUGUGGCUUCGGCUUGGGCGCCAUCCCAAGCCGGGUUGGCCAGAACUCUGCCUGUGCAGCCCCGCCCCCAGGCAAGCAGGAAACAAUGCACCUGAGCAACCUCCUCCCAUCUGCAGAGGAGGAAGCUAAGGUGUAGGGGGGUCAAGGCACUGGCCUAAGGUCCCACAGCCAAGGGGUGGCUGGGAGGUGCAAUCAGGUCUGCCUGGCACAGAGUCUGGUCUCCUGACCACGAUGCCAAACUGGUUAUUAUUGUCACCACAAUAGAAUACUAAUAA
rnacentral:lncRNA from 1 species